AAAUAGCCCAGGCCCGAGGCAGCCAGGCCGCAGCUGUGGACUCCUCGCCUCCUGGAGGCUCUGCUGGUGCAGGCCCCGCACUGGAGGGCUCGAUUGGCUGCCCGGCUGGCACUGACGUCCCCUUGGAGCCGGGUGGCAGCAGAGAUAAACAGCCAUGUGCAACUCUCCACCCUAUAUUUAACAGCUGCGGCGGAGAAGGCAGGGAGGCAGCCACGGUGGCGGCUCUGGGGGCAGCUCUUGUCUUCGGGGAGAAGGCCCUUGGAGCCGGGCUGGCAUCGGCCUUCUCAGGGUGAGCGAGGUCACCAUGCCAGCUUCCCAGAGCCGGGCCCGUGCCCGGGACCGCAACAACGUCCUCAACCGGGCUGAGUUCCUGUCCCUGAACCAGCCCCCCAAGGGGGGCCCGGAGCCCCGCAGCUCGGGCAGAAAGGCCUCGGGCCCAUCGGCACAGCCCCCACCUGCUGGUGACGGGGCCCGAGAGCGACGCCAGUCACAGCAGCUGCCAGAGGAGGACUGCAUGCAGCUGAACCCCUCCUUCAAGGGCAUCGCCUUCAACUCCCUGCUGGCCAUCGAUAUCUGUAUGUCCAAGCGGCUGGGGGUGUGCGCCGGCAGAGCGGCGUCCUGGGCCAGUGCCCGCUCCAUGGUCAAGCUCAUCGGCAUCACGGGCCACGGCAUCCCCUGGAUCGGAGGCACCAUCCUCUGCCUGGUGAAGAGCAGCACACUGGCCGGCCAGGAGGUGCUCAUGAAUCUGCUUCUGGGAAUGUUUGCUUUUAAGAACAUUUCCCCUGCCCCAACCAUUGAAAAAUUUACAACCUACUUGUUAAGAUAAGGCUUCAGGCUCAUUCCAGCAGCCAGCUGCCAUGGGCACAAAACUGUUUGCCCCACAGGAUAAAGAUGAAGAUUUGAGAUGCCUUCCUCCUUGAACAGAAGUGAUAGACAUUUUAAAAAAUCUUUAAAAACAUCAUUUAUUGAGCUUUAUUAUGUACCAAAGACAAUGGCAUGAACGGCCUGUAUUUUAUGAUGUAAAAAAGCUGCUGAUGACCUUUCAAGGUAAAUAUUAAUAUGCCCAUUUUACAGACGAGUAAACUGAGGCUCAGAAAGCUCAAGCAACUUGCCUACCACACAGCUAUAAGCGGUAGGUUCAGGAAGUAAAUCCAAGGCCCUGUGACUGCAAACCCGCCACUCCUUGCUGCUCACCGUGGGGCUGCAGGUCGGGCGUAUCACCAGUGUUCACUGCACUCCUGGAGCAUGUAUGCUUUGUGGAGGGGAAUGAUCUGGGAGGAGGUUGACUGUCUUCAUAUCCAGGUAUUGAGACCAUGGGGACAUAGGGCCUGGCACAAGUCAGGCAUUCAGCACAGGCCACAGAGCAGGCCGGGUGGGUCUGGGGACCCUGAGGUCAUUCCGUGGGGAUGCCAGCCCAGCCCUCGGCUUGGUGGGGGAAAAUGGCAGCAAAUGGCCAAGGCAGGCUCUAAUCCUGCAGCUGUGGUCUGACCUGCCAGGAAGGAAGGUCCCACGGUCCCCUGCCCCGGGGAAAGCAGACCACCCACUGAGCACACGCUGCAGGUUCCAUCUGUCCUUUUGUCUUUGGAGGGCACCCUUCAACCCUGGAGCAUAGGCUCUGGGGUCAGACUGGCUGUUGUCCAGGUCCUUGCUCUGACCCUUACUUGCUGUACGCACAUGCUCAAGUCAGUUCCUGUCUCUGAGCCUCAGUUUCCCUAUCUGGGGGCUGAGGGGGAUGUGGCAGGGAUGUGAAGGGAGCUGGCAAAGCAUUUGGCAUGGUGGAUGCCAUGCCGCACAGUGACAUCACUGCAAUACUGAAGGGGGAGGGAGCCCUGCCUAGCCCUGCCCACCCGCUCUGGCCCCGUGGCACUGAGCUAACCCCCAGGGGCAGUCUCUGGGCUGGAAGCAAGACCUCCGAGCUUGUGGUUGGGACCUGGGUUCCACUUGGCUCUGAAGAGGCAGACUUGGGAGCUUAGGAAAUGGGAGCUGCAGCUACGAGGCCUAGGAAGGGUCCCACUGGGCCCAGGGAAGUUCUCUGCAUGCUCCCUGCUUGCCCCUCCCCUAGUGCACACUGUCAAGACUAGAAAGCUCAGAGCCAGAAGGGGUCUUAGCAGCAGGCAAAAGCUUCGACUCCAGAGGCAGCUGGACCUGGGUGCAAAUCCCAGCCCUACUGUGGGAACUCAGGCAAGUGACUUUGCCUCUUUGAGCCCCAGUUUCUUCAUCUGUCAGAUGGGUUGUUGGGAAAUGUCCCUGAUGAAUCACACAUGAAGUGCUUGGCACUUACUGAUGUUGGUUAACGCUUAUGUAGCAAUGAUUAUCAUCAUCAUUAUCACCAUCAUCAUUGUCAGAAGUCCAGGACUAGCCUCCUGCCGGGUACCUUCCAAGCUCUAGAUGCCUUGAGACCACCUGUCCCCUUCUCCCUCCCGAGCAGCACCCAGCUUGAUGAUCUGAAGGGAGCCAGGUGACAGGUGACAGGUGACCAGGCCCAUCCUGGUUCACUAAGCCCAUCCUUGUUUCCUCAUGGGCCUGUCCUGUGAUUGGAAAUGCCUCCGGUCUUGUUCCUUGAUCUAUGUCCUUUAUGAAAGUAUCUUUUUGUUUGUUUGUUUUUUUGUUUUUGAGACAGAGUCUCUCUCUGUUGCCCAGGCUGGAGUGCAGUGAUAAGAUCUUGGCUCACUGCAACCUCUGCCUCCCGGGUUCAAGCAAUUCUCCAACAUGCCUGGACGACAGAGUGAGACUCCGUCUAAAAAAAAAAGCAUUUUUAUUGAGAUUUUCCUGAAUAUGAAAAAUACUUUUUUUUUUUUUUGAGACGGAGUCUCGCUGUGUCACCCAUGCUGGAGUGCAGUGCUGUGAUCUCGGCUCACAGCAACCUCUGCCUCCCUGGUUCAAGUGAUUCUCCUGCCUCAGCCUCCCGAGUAGCUGGGAUUACAGGUGCCCACCACCACGCCUGGCUAAUUUUUGUAUUUUUGGUAGAGAUGGAGUUUCACCAUGUUGGCCAGGCUGGUCUUGAACUGCUGACCUCAUGAUCCACCUGCAUUGGCUUCCCAAAGUGCUGGGAUUACAGGAGUGAGCCACCACGCCUGGCUAGGAAAACUACAUUUUUAUGUCAUUUUUUAUUGUGAUAAGCUGUACCUCACAUAAAAUUGAUCAUUGUAAUCAUUUGAAGCGUACAAUUCAGUGGCAUUGAGUCCAUUCACACUGUUGUGCAGCCGUCACCACCAUCCAUCUCCAGAACUCUUUUCAUCUUUCAUCUUAAAACACAGAAGCUCUGUCCCCAUUAAGCACUGACUCCCCACUCCCCCUCCCCCAGCCCCUGGCAACCUCCAUUCUACACUCUGUCUCUGGAUUUGACUGUUCUAGGGACCUCACAUAAGUGGAAUCAUACUGUAUUUGUCUUUUGUGACUGGCUGAUUUCAUUUAGCAUGAUAUCCUCGAGGUCCAUCCAUGCUGUAGCAGGCGCCGGCAUUUUCUUCCUCUCUAAGGCUGAAUAAUGCUCAGUUACAGGAUGGACCACAUUUCAUGUAUCCAUUCGUCCACCCAUGGACACUUCGGUUGCUUCCACCUUUUAGCUGUUCUGAAUAACGCUGCCAUGCGCACAGGUGUAUAUGUAUCUUCUUGAGCCCCUGCUUUCAGUUAUUUUGGUUGUAUACUCGGAAUCAAGCUGCUGGAUCACAGGGUAAUUUUAUGUUGACUUGUUUGAGGACCUGUCCUACUGUUGCCCACAGCGGCUGCGUGAUUUUACAUUCCCCCAGCAAUGCCCAAGGGCUCCGAUAUGUCCGCAUCUUUGCCAACACUCAUUGUCUGGUUUUUCAAUCAGAGCCAUCCUAAUGGGUAUGAAGUGGUAUCUCUUGUGGUUUUGGGUAUUUUUUGUUUGUUUUUGUUUUUUUUUUUUUUGUUUGGGGGGUUUUAGUUAGUUUGUUUUUUGAGACAGAGUCUCACUCUGUCACCAGCCUGGAGUGCAGUGGUGCGAUCUCGGUUCACUGCAACUUCCGCCUCCCGGGUUCAAGUGAUUCUCCUGCCUCUGCCUCCCAAGUAGCUGGUACUACAGGCGCCUGCCACCAUGCCUGGCUAAUUUUUCAUAGAGAUGAGCUUUCACCAUGUUGGCCAGGCUGGUCUCAAACUCUUAACCUUAAGUGAUCCUCCUGCCUUGGCCUCCCAAAGUGCUAGGAUUACAGGCGUGAGCCACCGGCCCUCAUUGUGGUUUUGCUUUGCAUUUCCCUAACCAUCAGUGAUGUUGGGCGCCUUUUCAUUAUACAUUCUUUUUUUUUUUUUUUUGAGACCGAGUCUCACUCUGUUGCCCAGGCUGGAGUGCAGUGGCGCCAUCUCGGCUCACUGCAACCUCCGCCUCCUGAGUUCAAGUGAUUUUCCUGCCUCAGCCUCCUGCGUAGGCAGGGAUUACAGGUGCACGCCACCAUGCCUAGCUCAUUUUUU